rnacentral:rRNA from 1 species
GUGCACCAGUCGCGAAUUUUUCACAAUGGGGGAAACCCUGAUGGAGCGACGCCGCGUGGAGGAUGAAGGCGUUUUCGUCGUAAACUCCUGUCAUGCGAGAACAAGAAAGUGAUAGUAUCGCAAGAGGAAGAGGCGGCUAACUCUGUGCCAGCAGCCGCGGUAAUACAGAGGCCUCAAGCGUUGUUCGGAUUCAUUGGGCGUAAAGGGUGCGUAGGUGGCAUGGUAAGUUGAAGGUGAAAUCUCGGAGCUCAACUCCGAAACUGCCUUCAAUACUGCUGUGCUCGAGGACUGUAGAGGAGAAUGGAAUUCACGGUGUAGCAGUGAAAUGCGUAGAUAUCGUGAGGAAGACCAGUGGCGAAGGCGAUUCUCUGGGCAGUUCCUGACACUGAGGCACGAAGGCUAGGGGAGCAAACGGGAUUAGAUACCCCUGUAGU